rnacentral:rRNA from 1 species
CCUACGGGUGGCAGCAGUGAGGAAUAUUGGACAAUGGGCUUACGCCUGAAGCAGCGAAAUAGCGUGAAGGAAGACUGCCCUAGGGGUGGUAAACGUCGUUUGUCAGGGAGAAAUUGGCGAUACGUGUAGCGUUAUCGAGAGUACCUGAAGAGAAAGCAUCGGCUAACUACGUGCCAGCCGCCGGGGUAGUACAGAGGAUGCGAUCGUUAUCCGGAUGUAUUGGGUGUAAGGCGUGCGUAGGCGGAAUGCCAAGUCAGUGUUAAAUUCGCGGGGCUAAACCUCGCGCCGCCUUUGAUACGAGCGUUCUUGAGUGGGCGAGAGGUAAGCGGAAUGCGUGGUGAAGCGGUGAAAUGCAUAGAUAUCACGCAGAACUCCGAUUGCGAAGGCAGCUUACUGGCGCCCAACUGACGCUGAAGCACGAAAGCGUGGGUAUCGAACAGGAUUAGAUACCCUAGUAGUC